GAGUAAAAGUCGUAACNAGGUUUCCGUAGGUGAACCUGCGGAAGGAUCAUUAUUGAAUUUAUGGAGGGGGUUGCUGCUGGCCUUUCGAGGCAUGUGCACACUCCUGUUCAAAUCCAUUUCACCCCCUGUGCACUUUUGUAGGCCAAAAUUUGGUCUAUGUUUUUUACAUACCCAUAUAAAAUUUUGAAUGUCAUUAUGUAGGCUUGAUAAAAGCUGAAAUAAAUUAAUACAACUUUCAACAACGGAUCUCUUGGCUCUCGCAUCGAUGAAGAACGCAGCGAAAUGCGAUAAGUAAUGUGAAUUGCAGAAUUCAGUGAAUCAUCGAAUCUUUGAACGCACCUUGCGCUCCUUGGUAUUCCGAGGAGCAUGCCUGUUUGAGUAUCAUUAAAUUCUCAACUUCAUCAGGUUGUAAUGACUUGUGUGAAGCUUGGAUUUGGAGUGUGCUGGCUUUAACAAAGUCGGCUCCUCUUGAAUGCAUUAGCAAAACCCUGCAGAAGUGGAUAAGCUUUGGUUUGAUAAUUAUCUAUGCCAUUGCUGUGAAGCAUUUGUACUUUGAGUUGUUUUGCUUCUAAUCGNCAUCUUUGGAAGACAAUAUUUUGAACUUUGAUCUCAAAUCAGGUAGGACUACCCGCUGAACUUAAGCAUAUCAAUAAGCGGAGGAA
rnacentral:rRNA from 1 species